rnacentral:lncRNA from 1 species
CACCAGCCUUAUGACUUGACUUGGACAAUUGAGAAUCCUGAAACAGGUUACUGGGGCCCAACUGGCUAAUACAAAAAAGCCACUUGGGACACCGUGGUUUCCAGACUUUGCCUUUGAUCUGUGCCAGUUGUCUGAUAACUCAUGGCCUGACACCCAACAGACUUUAUGGCAUUCAUACCUACCAUGUGGGUGGAGAACUUUUUAUAUAUGUCCUGGAGAAAAAAAGAAUUGUUACAUGUGGGGGUUCAGAACAAUUUUACUGUGCUUCCUGGGGAUGUGAGACAUCAGUUACAGGGAUAAAAACCUGGGGAGUGUUGAAGGAAGACCUUAUCGUGCUCACCAGGAAGGGGAGCAGGUCUGAAGUUUUACUGAGGUUCACAGACAAAGGGAAAGAGGAAAAUGCUUGGGAAGCUGGGAAGUCCUGGGGCCUCCAACUCCACAUCUUUGCAGGGAUUAGUCCUGGCCUCCUCUUCACCAUCAGACUUGUAGUAAAACCGGUUGUGAACUCCCUGCUGGUGGCUGUAAGUCCAAAGUGAAUUCUGGCAAACCCUAAACCUAUAUCAAGAGGUCCUGCCCUGGAAAAAACCUGCACCAAAGCUGGUCCUCAGACCUGAGACUGCUGCCCCAACCAGUGCACCCACAGCAGGGUUCUCCAGCCUUGGGAUUUUUAAAAAUUGCACAGAGCCUUUAGAUCUGCUCUGGUCAAUGAUGCUAAAAACCUUACAGAUUUUGAAAGGCUCCCAGCCAGAUCUAACCACCUCCAGCUAGCUGUAGUAUAAUGCCAGAUCCUCCUUUUAUGAAGGUCUUGGAUUUAUAUCUAAAUAUAGUGUCUGAGAGAGACACUGCAUGCAGAUGAUCCCAAGAAGGCCCAGCCUAACCCAGCAGACAAUAUCAGGACAGGGGACCUACCUGGGAAAAGUUCCCUUGUCAUAUCAGCAUCUUUGUAUGCAAACAAUCCCCACAGUUCAUUCCAAAUGGGUUAUUCCACCUGAACAGGCUUUGUGGGGCUGUUCAACGGGGUUGACUCUGUGUGUACAGAGAGAGGUCCUUAAUUCCCCUACUGUGAGGAGUUCUGUAUUCUAGUACAGUUGGUGCCAGGCAUAACCUAUUAUUCAGAGGAAAUA